rnacentral:rRNA from 1 species
UUGGAUAACCGUGGUAAUUCUAGAGCUAAUACAUGCUAAAAACCCCAACUUCGGGAGGGGUGUAUUUAUUAGAUAAAAAACCAACGCCCUUCGGGGCUUCUUGGUGAUUCAUGAUAACUUCACGGAUCGCAUGGCCUUGCGCCGGCGACGGUUCAUUCAAAUUUCUGCCCUAUCAACUUUCGAUGGUAAGGUAUUGGCUUACCAUGGUUUCAACGGGUAACGGGGAAUUAGGGUUCGAUUCCGGAGAGGGAGCCUGAGAAACGGCUACCACAUCCAAGGAAGGCAGCAGGCGCGCAAAUUACCCAAUCCCGACACGGGGAGGUAGUGACAAUAAAUACUGAUACAGGGCUCUUUUGGGUCUUGUAAUUGGAAUGAGUACAAUUUAAACCUCUUAACGAGGAACAAUUGGAGGGCAAGUCUGGUGCCAGCAGCCGCGGUAAUUCCAGCUCCAAUAGCGUAUAUUAAAGUUGUUGCAGUUAAAAAGCUCGUAGUUGAAACUUGGGUCUGGCUGGCAGGUCCGCCUCACCGCGUGUACUUGUCCGGCCGGGCCUUUCCUUCUGGAGAACCUCAUGCCCUUCACUGGGCGUGUUGGGGAACCAGGACUUUUACUUUGAAAAAAUUAGAGUGUUCAAAGCAGGCCUUUGCUCGAAUACGUUAGCAUGGAAUAAUAGAAUAGGACGUGCGGUCCUAUUUUGUUGGUUUCUAGGACCGCCGUAAUGAUUAAUAGGGACAGUCGGGGGCAUCAGUAUUCAAUUGUCAGAGGUGAAAUUCUUGGAUUUAUUGAAGACUAACUACUGCGAAAGCAUUUGCCAAGGAUGUUUUCAUUAAUCAGUGAACGAAAGUUAGGGGAUCGAAGACGAUCAGAUACCGUCGUAGUCUUAACCGUAAACUAUGCCGACUAGGGAUCGGGCGAUGUU